rnacentral:rRNA from 1 species
AUUGAACGCUGGCGGCAGGCCUAACACAUGCAAGUCGAGCGAGCGGCGGACGGGUGAGUAAUGUCUGGGGAACUGCCCGAUGGAGGGGGAUAACUACUGGAAACGGUAGCUAAUACCGCAUACCAUCGGAUGUGCCCAGAUGGGAUUAGCUAGUAGGUGGGGUAAUGGCUCACCUAGGCGACGAUCCCUAGCUGGUCUGCGAGGAUGAUCAGCCACACUGGGACUGAGACACGGCCCAGACUCCUACGGGAGGCAGCAGUGGGGAAUAUUGCACAAUGGGCGCAAGCCUGAUGCAGCCAUGCCGCGUGUAUGAAGAAGGCCUUCGGGUUGUAAAGCACUUUCAGCCGGGAGGCGUUACCCGCAGAAGAAGCACCGGCUAACUCCGUGCCAGCAGCCGCGGUAAUUC